rnacentral:rRNA from 1 species
GUUCCCAUACCGAACACGGAAGUUAAGCUCUUCAGCGCCGAUGGUAGUUGGGGGUCUCCCCCUGUGAGAGUAGGACGCCGCCAAGC